CCCUUAGAUGUUCUGGGCCGCACGCGCGCUACACUGACGAUGGCAACGAGUUUUUCCUUCGCCGAAAGGUGUGGGUAAUCUUUUGAAACAUCGUCGUGCUGGGGAUAGAUCAUUGCAAUUUUUGAUCCUGAACGAGGAAUUCCUAGUAAGCGCGAGUCAUCAGCUCGCGUUGAUUACGUCCCUGCCCUUUGUACACACCGCCCGUCGCUACUACCGAUUGAAUGGUUUAGUGAGGACUCCUGAUUGGCGCCGCCGCCCCGGCAACGGAGCAGCGGACUGCCGAAAAGUUGUUCAAACUUGAUCAUUUAGAGGAAGUAAAAGUCGUAACA
rnacentral:rRNA from 1 species